GGGGGGGGGGGGGCUAAUACAUGCAGUCGAGCGAACAGAUAAGGAGCUUGCUCCUUUGACGUUAGCGGCGGACGGGUGAGUAACACGUGGGUAACCUACCUAUAAGACUGGGAUAACUUCGGGAAACCGGAGCUAAUACCGGAUAACAUUUGGAACCGCAUGGUUCUAAAGUGAAAGAUGGUUUUGCUAUCACUUAUAGAUGGACCCGCGCCGUAUUAGCUAGUUGGUAAGGUAACGGCUUACCAAGGCGACGAUACGUAGCCGACCUGAGAGGGUGAUCGGCCACACUGGAACUGAGACACGGUCCAGACUCCUACGGGAGGCAGCAGUAGGGAAUCUUCCGCAAUGGGCGAAAGCCUGACGGAGCAACGCCGCGUGAGUGAUGAAGGGUUUCGGCUCGUAAAACUCUGUUAUUAGGGAAGAACAAACGUGUAAGUAACUGUGCACGUCUUGACGGUACCUAAUCAGAAAGCCACGGCUAACUACGUGCCAGCAGCCGCGGUAAUACGUAGGUGGCAAGCGUUAUCCGGAAUUAUUGGGCGUAAAGCGCGCGUAGGCGGUUUCUUAAGUCUGAUGUGAAAGCCCACGGCUCAACCGUGGAGGGUCAUUGGAAACUGGGAAACUUGAGUGCAGAAGAGGAAAGUGGAAUUCCAUGUGUAGCGGUGAAAUGCGCAGAGAUAUGGAGGAACACCAGUGGCGAAGGCGACUUUCUGGUCUGUAACUGACGCUGAUGUGCGAAAGCGUGGGGAUCAAACAGGAUUAGAUACCCUGGUAGUCCACGCCGUAAACGAUGAGUGCUAAGUGUUAGGGGGUUUCCGCCCCUUAGUGCUGCAGCUAACGCAUUAAGCACUCCGCCUGGGGAGUACGACCGCAAGGUUGAAACUCAAAGGAAUUGACGGGGACCCGCACAAGCGGUGGAGCAUGUGGUUUAAUUCGAAGCAACGCGAAGAACCUUACCAAAUCUUGACAUCCUUUGAAAACUCUAGAGAUAGAGCCUUCCCCUUCGGGGGACAAAGUGACAGGUGGUGCAUGGUUGUCGUCAGCUCGUGUCGUGAGAUGUUGGGUUAAGUCCCGCAACGAGCGCAACCCUUAAGCUUAGUUGCCAUCAUUAAGUUGGGCACUCUAGGUUGACUGCCGGUGACAAACCGGAGGAAGGUGGGGAUGACGUCAAAUCAUCAUGCCCCUUAUGAUUUGGGCUACACACGUGCUACAAUGGACAAUACAAAGGGCAGCUAAACCGCGAGGUCAUGCAAAUCCCAUAAAGUUGUUCUCAGUUCGGAUUGUAGUCUGCAACUCGACUACAUGAAGCUGGAAUCGCUAGUAAUCGUAGAUCAGCAUGCUACGGUGAAUACGUUCCCGGGUCUUGUACACACCGCCCGUCACACCACGAGAGUUUGUAACACCCGAAGCCGGUGGAGUAACCAUUUAUGGAGCUAGCCGUCGAAGGGGGGACCAAAAA
rnacentral:rRNA from 1 species